UACGUAGGCAGCGAGCGUUGUUCGGAAUUAUUGGGCGUAAAGAGUGCGUAGGCGGUGCUCUAAGUCUGUCGUGAAAUCUCCCGGCUUAACUGGGAGGGUGCGGCGGAAACUGGAAUGCUAGAGUGUGGGAGAGGUAAGCGGAAUUCCAGGUGUAGCGGUGAAAUGCGUAGAUAUCUGGAGGAACACCGGUGGCGAAGGCGGCAUCCUGGACCAAUACUGACACUGAGGAGCGAAAGCCAGGGGAGCAAACGGG
rnacentral:rRNA from 1 species